GGGUCGUUAGCUCAGUUGGUAGAGCACUGGACUUUUAAUCCAUUGGUCGUUGGUUCGAGCCCAACACGACCCACCA
rnacentral:tRNA from 1 species